CUACGGGCGGCAGCAGUAGGGAAUAUUGGGCAAUGGGCGCAAGCCUGACCCAGCCAUGCCGCGUGCAGGAAGAAGGCGUUCUGCGUUGUAAACUGCUUUUAUAUAGGAAGAAACGGCCCUUGCGAGGGACAUUGACGGUACUAUAUGAAUAAGCACCGGCUAACUCCGUGCCAGCAGCCGCGGUAAUACGGAGGGUGCAAGCGUUGUCCGGAUUUAUUGGGUUUAAAGGGUGCGCAGGUGGUUUAUUAAGUCAGUGGUGAAAGACGGUCGCUCAACGAUUGCAGUGCCAUUGAUACUGGUAGACUUGAGUAAAGUAGAGGUGGGCGGAAUUGAUAGUGUAGCGGUGAAAUGCAUAGAUAUUAUCAAGAACUCCGAUUGCGAAGGCAGCUCACUUGGCUUUUACUGACACUCAUGCACGAAAGUGUGGGUAUCAAACAGGAUUAGAUACCCCUGUAGUC
rnacentral:rRNA from 1 species